UACGUAGGGUGCAAGCGUUAAUCGGAAUUACUGGGCGUAAAGCGCGCGUAGGUGGUUCGUUAAGUUGGAUGUGAAAUCCCCGGGCUCAACCUGGGAAUUGCGAUGGAGACUGCAAGGCUAGAGUUUGGCAGAGGGGGGGUAGAAUUCCACGUGUAGCAGUGAAAUGCGUAGAGAUGUGGAGGAACACCGAUGGCGAAGGCAGCCCCCUGGGUCAAGAUUGACGCUCAUGCACGAAAGCGUGGGGAGCAAACAGG
rnacentral:rRNA from 1 species